UACGUAGGUGGCAAGCGUUGUCCGGAUUUACUGGGCGUAAAGAGCGCGCAGGCGGUCGUUCAAGUCGCGUGUGAAAGCCCCCGGCUCAACUGGGGAGGGUCACGCGAUACUGAUCGACUCGAAGGCAGGAGAGGGAAGUGGAAUUCCCGGUGUAGUGGUGAAAUGCGUAGAUAUCGGAAGGAACACCAGUGGCGAAAGCGGCUUCCUGGUCCAGCAUCGACGUUCAGGCACGAAAGCGUGGGGAGCAAACAGG
rnacentral:rRNA from 1 species